rnacentral:lncRNA from 1 species
GAGGACCUAGAGAAAUGUGAACAUGACUUUCAGUGGGUCACAAGGGAGGUGGGAGCUCUGGACUUAUGGCUAGAUUGCUUCUGGUUUGGUGUUUUUGUUUUUAAAAGAUUGAUUUUAUGUUAUGUGUUGCAUGUAUGUCUGUGCCCGCAUGUGUACAUGGUGCCUGUAGAGGCCAGAAGAUACGAGCAGAUCCCCAUGGAAGUGGAGUUGAGGUAGUCAUGAUCUGACAUGUAGGUGCUGGGAACUGAACCCAGCUCCUUUGGAGGGGUGUUUAUUAGCUCCUGCACCAUCUCUCUAGCCCCAAUAGGGUCUUUUUGAGAUACACAAACUCACUGUGUGGUUAAGGCUGGCCUUGAAUUCCUGACCCUCCUGCUGCUACCUCCCAAGUGUGGGUGUUUACUGCCAUGCCUGGCCAGCGUUGAGGCUGGCUUUAUUUUUCUGGUGCCUGUUCUCCUGAUUUUAGUCUGAUGCAGACUCUCGGUGCGUCAGGGCAGGGCUGGCUCUCUCUUGCCCUGAGGACCAGAACUUCUCCCUCUUCUCCUCUCUGGUCGUGGUCAGGAACUGGUUUCAGUCUGGGGACUGGAGAUCCUCAAGGACUUUUUUUGGCAUUAAUUCCUUUGAAAAGGAACACAAAGCAGCGAGUUUAGAACUAGAAUCUGUCUGUAUUGGGAACCCAUGGUGUUCUGAUAAGUUUUCUUUUGAGGGAGGUGUCUUGGGGGUCCCCUUCAUCUCAUGGCACUUCCAAGGGCCUGUGCCUGCCUAUGGGGCUUGCUGUGGAGUAGUGAAGAAUGGCAUCUUCAGUAUUAAAACUUGAGACAUUCUCCUCAGCUGUGUCAGAGAUUGGCAUGUUGGGAGGUUCUGCCUUUUGUUCUGCUUGUGGUAGUUCAGGGAAUUGAACCCAGAGCCUCACACAUGUUAGGCAGGGGCUAUGUGACUAAGGUACAGCCCAGCCAGUUUUCUACUGUGUUUCACACAGAUGUAAAUCCUGGCUUGGUUGCUGUUGACUGAGCAAGGGUCUCAGCCCCACUUGCAGAAAAUGGUGUUGCAUGUCUGUCUUCCCUGCCUUGGCUGAACUCUCUGUCGCUGUGUAGGACAUGGACCCCCGGCUGAUCGCAUGGAAAGGAGGUGCAGUACUGGCGUGUUUGGACACCACUCAGGAACUGUGGAUUUAUCAGCGAGAGUGGCAACGCUUUGGUGUCCGAAUGUUACGGGAACGAGCUGCCUUUGUGUGGUGAAAACCACAACCGAGUCUCAGGACAUAAAAGACUUAAAGAGUGUAUGUAUUGUAAGUUAUUGACCACGAAGCUUAAUUUUCCUAGAAUUAAAUUAAUGCAAUUUUAUGUUAAAGUAUGACACUGAUUUGAGAUAAUCUACUUUCAGUCGGGCUUACCCUGUCCCUGAUGGGAAACCUUGCUGUCCAGCCUUCCAUCCUGAUGAACGUGUCAUGUAGCCCUGAGGGGUGACCACUGGAACCAGCUGUGGCAUCUUCUCUUUUUUUCUAGCAAUAGUUAGGAGCUAAAGCGGUCAGGCUGGGUUCUGUGUACAUCACACAAGGUCCUCUUGGAGUUAAGCACUGUCUUUGUAACACAUACACACGUCAGGGAGCAGGAGGUCAGGGAGCACUCCUGGGGGCCACAGCACAAGGCAGGCAGGGUAGGUAGAGCAGAAUUGUUUAGCUGGCUGUUAGGCAUCUGCUCCUACCGUGUCUGUCACCAGGCUUGUCCUGGGGAGGACUGGGAGGCAGGUAACAGUGGGUCAGAUGAGCCGCGGGAUCACCAUGGACUGUAGCAGUCUCGGGUGCACAGCCCUGCUGGCGCUGUAAGAGUAACCAGCUAAAGCAGCUUCGAGCAAGCGGGGCAUACUAUUUGGAGAUGUACUUCCUCAUUUGAAAAUUACCUGCUUUUUAUGUUUUGGAUCAAAUGUAUAGGAUAUGCUUUUAUGUUUCUGGGCUGAUUGGACAGUUGACACUCAUCCCUGCGCUCCCCGAAGCACAGUGCGCCUGUUGUGACCAUUCCGCACAUGAAGGUCACUUACAGUGGUAGGUGUUGAUGUGGAGGAAGUUGGUUUGUGGUCCAAGUUUUGGCACAAGCUAUAUCCAUCUGUUAGCAGCACUUUUACAAGCUUCUGGCAACUGUCUUCCCAAAUAGCCGAGCCUUGCCACGCCUGCACUGCCUCUGACAUCAUACACUGGAUGUGACGCUCGUGUGCCACGCCUGCACUGCCUCCACCUUAUCAGAGUAUUUGCUGAUGAAGUUGGCUGCAGGGUUUUUAUUUUAUUUGUAAGACUUGUGCUAGAGUGAAUGAAUCCCUUUUACAUUGGCUCUUUAGCACACUUUUUGUAUUGCUGUGGAUUGAAACCAGGACCUUGUACAUGAUGUACAAAUGCUCGAACAUGACCUUUUUUUUUUUUGAAACAGAGUCUUUCCCCAGAACCCACGGCUCUGUUUGCUUCCUUCCAGUGCACUGCAACUUAAAAUGUGUGCCCCAGGGAACUGGAGAGGCAGCUCAGUGAGGAAGGCCACUCGCUGCUCUUCUGGAAGAUCUGGGGUUCAGGUCCCAGCGCAGGUCAGGCCGCUCCCAACCAUCUGUAGCUCCAGCCCUAAGGCAUCUGAGGCCUUUGGCCUCUUGUGAGUCAUACUUCUGAGUGGAUAGAUACUCUUGUGAGUGGAUACUCACAUGCACAUACCCAUUGCAGAUACACACACACACCCCUAAGACAUAAUUAAAAAUACAUAGUUUU